GACUCCUACGGGAGGCAGCAGUUAAGAAUCUUGCGCAAUGGGGGAAACCCUGACGCAGCGACGCCGCGUGCGGGAUGAAGGCUCUCGGGUCGUAAACCGCGAUAGACGGGGACGAAGAAAGUGACGGUACCCGUCCAAAGCACCGGCUAACUACGUGCCAGCAGCCGCGGUAAUACGUAGGUGGCAAGCGUUAUCCGGAAUUAUUGGGCGUAAAGCGCGCGCAGGCGGUCCUUUAAGUCUGAUGUGAAAUUCCGCGGCUCAACCGCGGGUGUGCAUUGGAAACUGGGGGACUUGAGUGCGGAAGAGGGGAGCGGAAUUCCCGGUGUAGCGGUGAAAUGCGUAGAGAUGGGAAGGAACAUCAGUGGCGAAGGCGACUCACUG
rnacentral:rRNA from 1 species